GUGAGGAAUUUUCCGCAAUGGGCGAAAGCCUGACGGGGCAAUGCCGCGUGAAGGAUGAAGGCCUAUGGGUUGUAAACUUCUUUUCUCAGAAAAGAAUUAUGACGGUAUCUGAGGAAUAAGCAUCGGCUAACUCUGUGCCAGCAGCCGCGGUAAGACAGAGGAUGCAAGCGUUAUCCGGAAUGAUUGGGCGUAAAGCGUCUGUAGGUUGUUUAAAAAGUAUUCUGUCAAAGAUUAGGGCUUAACCCUAGAUAGGCAGAAUAAACUUUUAAGCUAGAGUUUGGUAGAGGCAGAGGGAAUUCCCGGUGGAGCGGUGAAAUGCGUAGAUAUCGGGAGGAACACCAAAGGCGAAGGCACUCUGCUGGGCCAAUACUAACACUGAGAGACGAAAGCGAGGGGAGCAAAUGGGAUUAGAUACCCUGGUAGUCC
rnacentral:rRNA from 1 species